AUCACUUCUUGGCUUUUCGGCUAAGAUCAAG
rnacentral:snRNA from 1 species